rnacentral:rRNA from 1 species
CCUACGGGAGGCAGCAGUGGGGAAUAUUGCACAAUGGGGGAAACCCUGAUGCAGCGACGCCGCGUGAGUGAAGAAGUAAUUCGUUAUGUACAGCUCUAUCAGCAGGGAAGAAAAUGACGGUACCUGAGUCAGCAGCCCCGGCUAACUACUGGCCAGCAGCCGCGGUAAUACGUCGGGGGCAAGCGUUAUCCGGAUUUACUGGGUGUAAAGGGAGCGUAGACGGCAGUUCAAGUCUGGAGUGAAAGGCGGGGGCUCAACCCCCGGACUGCUCUGGAAACUGGACGGCUGGAGUGCAGGAGAGGUAAGGGGAAUUCCUAGUGUAGCGGUGAAAUGCGUAGAGAUUAGGAAGAACACCAGUGGCGAAGGCGGCCUACUGGACUGUAACUGACGUUGAGGUUCGAAAGCGUGGGGAGCAAACAGGAUUAGAUACCCCGGUAGUC